rnacentral:tRNA from 1 species
GUGGCAUGUGCCGAACGGCUUAGGCGCUUCCCUGUGGAGGAAGUUUUAGCGGGUUCGACUCCCGUAUGCCACCCA